CAGCGCCACCCGUCUGGGGCCCGAAAGGAGGGAGCUUUCCCUCUGUCCUCCAGCCUUUGGACUGUCUCCAAACAAGCCAUUCGUUCACCAAAUACUUAUUAAGCACCUACCAUGUGCCUGACAAGGGAGAUGUAACGACAGAAUCAACGGUUUCUGUGUCUGAGAUGUUGCAUACACCCUCUCAGUCCCUCUAUCCUGAGAUGGAGUCACCUGAGGAUCCACAGCAAGUCCUAACCAGGGAUGGGUCUGGGUGAUUAAGGAAGGUUGGCUUCAGAACUGGGCCAGGGGCACUGCUUUGCUUUUGCUGUUUUGAUCAGCUCUCUGCCUGCAGGAGACAAGGAAAACCAAUGGGAACAGCCCAGUAAAGGCUCCAUUCCCCAUUUUACAGCUGGGGAAACUGAGUUACAGAGCUUUUCUGCACUGAGUCAUCAGGAGCAAAUG
rnacentral:lncRNA from 10 species